rnacentral:rRNA from 1 species
UACGUAGGGACCGAGCGUUGUCCGGAAUCAUUGGGCGUAAAGAGCGUGUAGGCGGCCUUUUAAGUCCUGCGUGAAAUCCUGCGGCUCAACCGCAGACGGUCGUGGGAAACUGGAAGGCUAGAGUGCGGGAGAGGAGAGUGGAAUUCCCCGGUGUAGCGGUGAAAUGCGUAGAUAUUGGGAGGAACACCGGUGGCGAAGGCGAGUCCCUGGACAACACCUGACACUGAGGCACGAAAGCUAGGGGAGCAAACAGG